GAUGAAGAACGCAGCGAAAUGCGAUAAGUAGUGUGAAUUGCAGAAUUCAGUGAAUCAUCGAAUCUUUGAACGCACAUUGCGCCCCUUGGUAUUCCAUGGGGCGUGCCUGUUCGAGCGUCAUUUGUACCUUCAAGCUCUGCUUGGUGUUGGGUGUUUGUCUCGCCUCUGCGUGUAGACUCGCCUCAAAACAAUUGGCAGCCGGCGUAUUGAUUUCGGAGCGCAGUACAUCUCGCGCUUUGCACUCAUAACGACGACGUCCAAAAGUACAUUUUUACACUCUUGACCUCGGAUCAGGUAGGGAUACCCGCUGAACUUAAGCAUAUCAAUAAGCGGAGGA
rnacentral:misc_RNA from 1 species